rnacentral:lncRNA from 1 species
AACUACAAACCAAGUUAAAUUCCUUACCAAAGUGUGUUUUGGACUUAUCUUUUCUACACUGCCCAAGGUAACCCUGUUAUGUUACAAGUGGGAAAGGAAGCGUAAUGAGAUGAAUGAAAUAGUGCAAUAUGAUUCAUGCCUUACGGCGAAGGUUUCUCUCAAACGCCUUGUGAUUGAUAGCAACAUUAUGAAAUGUGGUUGAAUGAAUGCCCUUAUGUGUUAAACUAUGAAGUCUUAUUAUGAAUUGCUAGAGUUACAGUUUAUGUCGUUGACAUGAAUCUCACUAAGACUCUAGAAGAGCUUGAGAAAACUGUCUCACACCUGUAGACGAAAUUUCUGAUGAAUGAUCUUGGAAAAACUCAUCUUGACUUGAAGUUCAAGCAUUGUUAUGGGGUACUUUGGUCUACCAGUUGAACUACACCCCGAAGGUGUUACCUUUUGAGUAUACCUAUGAUCUUCCAUACGCUAUAUGCAAAUGAGACCCUUUAAAGGUUAUGAAACAUGAAGUUCCAUAAAUAAGUUCAACUUUGUGCUUGUUAUACUUAGCUCAUUGCAAUUAGAAAGAACAUCUCAUUCGCGGUUGAUCUAUUG